CAAAAGCUCAAAUUUGAAAUCUGGUACCUUUGGUGCCCGAGUUGUAAUUUGGAGAGUACCACUUUGGGACUGUACUUUGCCUAUGUUCCUUGGAACAGGACGUCAUGGAGGGUGAGAAUCCCGUGUGGCGAGGGUGUCAGUUCUUUGUAAAGGGUGCUCGAAGAGUCGAGUUGUUUGGGAAUGCAGCUCUAAGUGGGUGGUAAAUUCCAUCUAAAGCUAAAUACAGGCGAGAGACCGAUAGCGAACAAGUACAGUGAUGGAAAGAUGAAAAGAACUUUGAAAAGAGAGUGAAAAAGUACGUGAAAUUGUUGAAAGGGAAGGGCAUUUGAUCAGACAUGGUGUUUUGCGCCCCUUGCCUCUCGUGGGCUUGGGACUCUCGCAGCUCACUGGGCCAGCAUCGGUUUUGGCGGCCGGAAAAAACCUAGGGAAUGUGGCUCUGCGCCUCGGUGUAGAGUGUUAUAGCCCUGGGGAAUACGGCCAGCCGGGACCGAGGACUGCGAUACUUGUUAUCUAGGAUGCUGGCAUAAUGGUUAUAUGCCGCCCGUCUUG
rnacentral:rRNA from 1 species